CCUACGGGUGGCUGCAGUGGGGAAUAUUGGACAAUGGGCGAAAGCCUGAUCCAGCCAUGCCGCGUGUGUGAAGAAGGCCUUCGGGUUGUAAAGCACUUUCAGUGGGGAAGAAAGCCUUGGGGCUAAUACCCUCGAGGAAGGACAUCACCCACAGAAGAAGCACCGGCUAACUCCGUGCCAGCAGCCGCGGUAAUACGGAGGGUGCGAGCGUUAAUCGGAAUUACUGGGCGUAAAGCGCGCGUAGGCGGUCUGAUAAGCCGGUUGUGAAAGCCCCGGGCUCAACCUGGGAACGGCAUCCGGAACUGUCAGGCUAGAGUGCAGGAGAGGAAGGUAGAUUUCCCGGUGUAGCGGUGAAAUGCGUAGAGAUCGGGAGGAAUACCAGUGGCGAAGGCGGCCUUCUGGACUGACACUGACGCUGAGGUGCGAAAGCGUGGGUAGCAAACAGGAUUAGAUACCCGUGUAGUC
rnacentral:rRNA from 1 species